AGUCUAUAUAGGUUGGUAAAAAUUUUGAAAAUUUUUAAGAAGUGUUCGAUUCACUUAUGGGCUU
rnacentral:tRNA from 1 species